UACGUAGGGAGCAAGCGUUGUCCGGAAUCAUUGGGCGUAAAGCGCGCGUAGGUGGCCCUGUAAGUCCGUUGUGAAAGUCAAAGGCUCAACCUUUGAAAGCCGAUGGAUACUGCAGGACUAGAGUACGGAAGAGGCGAGUGGAAUUCCUGGUGUAGCGGUGGAAUGCGCAGAUAUCAGGAGGAACACCGGUGGCGAAGGCGGGUCUCUGGGCAGUAACUGACGCUGAGAAGCGAAAGCGUGGGGAGCGAACAGG
rnacentral:rRNA from 1 species